GGGUUAAUAAGGCGCGUAGGUGGUUAAUUAAGUCAGAUGUGAAAUCCCCGGGCUUAACCUGGGAAUUGCAUUUGAAACUGAUUGGCUAGAGUACGGGAGAGGGAAGUGGAAUUUCCGGUGUAGCGGUGAAAUGCGUAGAUAUCGGAAGGAACACCAGUGGCGAAGGCGACUUCCUGGCCCGUUACUGACACUGAGGCGCGAAAGCGUGGGGAGCGAACAGGAUUAGAUACCCUGGUAGUCCACGCCGUAAACGAUGAGAACUAGAUGUUAGGUGGCUUAGACCAUUAGUAUCGCAGCAAACGCGUUAAGUUCUCCGCCUGGGAGUACGGUCGCAAGAUUAAAACU
rnacentral:rRNA from 1 species